UACGUAGGGUGCGAGCGUUUGUCCGGAAUUAUUGGGCGUAAAGAGCUCGUAGGCGGUCUGUCGCGUCGGAUGUGAAAGCCCGGGGCUUAACCCCCGGGUCUGCAUUCGAUACGGGCAGACUAGAGUGUGGUAGGGGAGAUCGGAAUUCCUGGUGUAGCGGUGAAAUGCGCAGAUAUCAGGAGGAACACCGGUGGCGAAGGCGGAUCUCUGGGCCAUUACUGACGCUGAGGAGCGAAAGCGUGGGGAGCGAACAGG
rnacentral:rRNA from 1 species